UACGGGGGUGGCGAGCGUUACUCGGAUUUAUUGGGUGUAAAGGGCAGGUAGGUGGCUGUGCAAGUUGAUGGUGAAAUCCUAUGGCUUAACCAUAGAACUGCCGUCAAAACUGCACAGCUUGAGGCCAGAAGAGGAGAGCGGAAUUCCCGGUGUAAGGGUGAAAUCUGUAGAUAUCGGGAGGAACACCAGUGGCGAAAGCGGCUCUCUAGUCUGGCUCUGACACUAAGCUGCGAAAGCUCGGGGAG
rnacentral:rRNA from 1 species